rnacentral:RNase_P_RNA from 1 species
ACAACAGUUUGUUCUAUCGCUGCGGUUUAAUGCCGGAGAGGAAAGUCGGGACAACACAGAGCACCAUACUUCCUAACGGGAAGGUGCCUCGGAAAGACGAGGUAACAGAUAGUGCCACAGAAAAUAACCGCCCCGAUAGCUAUCGGGGUAAGGGUGAAAAUGUGAGGUAAGAGCUCACGUUCAGGCCGGGCGACCGGUUUGAAGGGUAAACCUUAUGGGUUGAAAGGCCAUGUACACCGGAUAAAAAGGCUGCUCGUCAAUUUCCGGGGGGUAGGCCGAUUGAUCUUGGCAGCGAUGUCAAGACUAGAUAAAUGAUAGAAAUCCUGCUUUUGCAGGAUACAGAAUCCCGCUUAUAGAAUUGUUGUUUUA